rnacentral:rRNA from 1 species
GUGAAGCGGCAAAAGCUCAAAUUUGAAAUCUGGUACCUUCGGUGCCCGAGUUGUAAUUUGGAGAGGGCAACUUUGGGGCCGUUCCUUGUCUAUGUUCCUUGGAACAGGACGUCAUAGAGGGUGAGAAUCCCGUGUGGCGAGGAGUGCGGUUCUUUGUAAAGUGCCUUCGAAGAGUCGAGUUGUUUGGGAAUGCAGCUCUAAGUGGGUGGUAAAUUCCAUCUAAAGCUAAAUAUUGGCGAGAGACCGAUAGCGAACAAGUACAGUGAUGGAAAGAUGAAAAGAACUUUGAAAAGAGAGUGAAAAAGUACGUGAAAUUGUUGAAAGGGAAGGGCAUUUGAUCAGACAUGGUGUUUUGUGCCCUCUGCUCCUUGUGGGUAGGGGAAUCUCGCAUUUCACUGGGCCAGCAUCAGUUUUGGUGGCAGGAUAAAUCCAUAGGAAUGUAGCUUGCCUCGGUAAGUAUUAUAGCCUGUGGGAAUACUGCCAGCUGGGACUGAGGACUGCGACGUAAGUCAAGGAUGCUGGCAUAAUGGUUAUAUGCCGCCCGUCUUG